GCCGGGUGUGGUGGCGUGCGCCUGUAAUCCAAGCUCCAUGGAGGCUGAGGCUGGAGAAUGGUUGGAGCUCAGGAGCUCUGAGCUGCAGUGGACUAUGUUGAUCAGGUGUCCACACUCAGCUCGGUAUCAAUAUGGUCUUCCUGGGGGAGCCCGGGACAACCAGGUCGUCUAAGGAGGGGUGGAUCGGCCCAGGUCGGUAACAGAGCAGGUCAAAGCCCGCGUGCCGUUCAGUGGUGGGAUCACACCUGAGAGUAGAUGCUGCAGUGCAGCCUGAGCUACACAUCCAGACCCAGUCUUUU
rnacentral:SRP_RNA from 1 species